GUUAUUGUCAGUUUGUUCUGUUGUGCCUAUGCCUUGGUAGUUUUUAUGAGGUUUUCUUUGUAGGUAGUUUGAUUACUUUUUUGUUCUUGCUUUUUCUUCCCAUCACUUCCCUUACAUAUUGCCACCUGUAUUUUUGUUUAAUGCUGUCAUUUUCUUGCAUAUUGAGUAGCAGGUCUAUUAUCAGUAUGUCGUCUAUUGGUUUCGUUCUUACCUUAGUAGCGCAUGCUGGUCCUUUUUGUAGUAGGUCUUUUACUGACUGUGGGAGUGUUAUGUCUCCUAUAACCAUUACUACAUCUUCUAGUUGUAGGCUUAUGGGUAAUUUAGUGACUCUUUGUUUUUUUAACAACCAUUUCAGCUUUUUGACAUGCUGGUAUUUGCUUUUCUUUCUAUCAUACUCUGCUUUGUUUUCAUAGUGUUCUAUUUGGAGUAAUGGGAUGCCAUUUUUACUUAAGUCCAACUUUAGCUCUUCUACUUUUUUGUUUAGGAUAUGAUACCUAUUUUUUUUUGCGUCUUUGGUGGCUGUAUUUAGACAGAUCUUCUUUGUGUUGUUUAGUAC
rnacentral:lncRNA from 1 species